UACGAAGGGGGCUAGCGUUGCUCGGAAUCACUGGGCGUAAAGCGCACGUAGGCGGCUUUCUAAGUCGGGUGGUGAAAUCCUGGAGCUCAACUCCAGAACUGCCUCCGAUACUGGAAGGCUCGGGUCCGGGAGAGGUGAGUGGAACUGCGAGUGUAGAGGUGAAAUUCGUAGAUAUUCGCAAGAACACCAGUGGCGAAGGCGGCUCACUGGCCCGGUACUGACGCUGAGGUGCGAAAGCGUGGGGAGCAAACAGG
rnacentral:rRNA from 1 species